GAGUUUGAUCCUGGCUCAGGACGAACGCUGGCGGCGUGCCUAAUACAUGCAAGUAGAACGCUGAAGACUUUAGCUUGCUAAAGUUGGAAGAGUUGCGAACGGGUGAGUAACGCGUAGGUAACCUGCCUACUAGCGGGGGAUAACUAUUGGAAACGAUAGCUAAUACCGCAUAACAGCAUUUAACCCAUGUUAGAUGCUUGAAAGGAGCAAUUGCUUCACUAGUAGAUGGACCUGCGUUGUAUUAGCUAGUUGGUGAGGUAACGGCUCACUAAGGCGACGAUACAUAGCCGACCUGAGAGGGUGAUCGGCCACACUGGGACUGAGACACGGCCCAGACUCCUACGGGAGGCAGCAGUAGGGAAUCUUCGGCAAUGGGGGCAACCCUGACCGAGCAACGCCGCGUGAGUGAAGAAGGUUUUCGGAUCGUAAAGCUCUGUUGUAAGAGAAGAACGUGUGUGAGAGUGGAAAGUUCACACAGUGACGGUAACUUACCAGAAAGGGACGGCUAACUACGUGCCAGCAGCCGCGGUAAUACGUAGGUCCCGAGCGUUGUCCGGAUUUAUUGGGCGUAAAGCGAGCGCAGGCGGUUUAAUAAGUCUGAAGUUAAAGGCAGUGGCUUAACCAUUGUUCGCUUUGGAAACUGUUAGACUUGAGUGCAGAAGGGGAGAGUGGAAUACCAUGUGUAGCGGUGAAAUGCGUAGA
rnacentral:rRNA from 1 species